ACCGGAAGAGCCGCUAUAAACGCCCGCGCCGCCGCGCCGCGGUCCUCUCGGGCCUCCGGGUUCCCGGCACCCGCCUUUCCACUGAGGACACCCGCUCGCCCGGUGCCUGAGGCCGAUGCCGCCAGGACCGCGCGGGAGGGGCUUCGGUUGUCCGGUCUCCCAAAGAAAGCUAAUUGCCCAGUUCUCCGCUUGUGGAUGUUCUUGGGGUCCUGCUGUUGACCUGAACGGACCUGAACCCCUUCCCCCACCCUUAAAAAUUAACUGACUAGCUUUUUUUUUUUU